rnacentral:rRNA from 1 species
CUCCGCGGCAGUUUUAUUGGGCCUAAGCAUCCGUAGCUGGCUAAGUUAGUCCCUUGUUAAAUCCACCGAAUUAAUCGUUGGAUUGCGGGGGAUACUGCUUGGCUAGGGGACGAGAGAGGCAGACGGUAUUUCCGGGGUAGGGGUGAAAUCCUAUAAUCCCGGGAAGACCACCAGUGGCGAAGGCUGUCUGCUAGAACGCGCCCGACGGUGAGGGAUGAAAGCUGGGGGAGCGAACCGGAUUAGAUACCCGGGUAGUCCCAGCUGUAAACGAUGCAGGCUAGGUGUUUGGACGGCCACGUGCCGUUCUAGUGCCGCAGGGAAGCUGUUAAGCCUGCCGCCUGGGGAGUACGAUCGCAAGAUUGAAACUUAAAGGAAUUGGCGGGGGGAGCACAGA